GUGCUGUCACUGACCAGGUGGAGGUGUGAGGUCCUGGGGCAUCAUGGCAGGACCUUGGACAUCCACUUUCUCAGGUCUGCAGC